CAUGCAAGUCGAACGAGGAUAUAUCCUUCGGGAUAUAAGCCGAGUGGCGCAAGGGUGAGUAAUGCAUAGAUUACCUGCCUCUAGGAUAAGGACAACUUUGUGAAAACGAAGCUAAUACUUAAUAAUACAAAAGAAAAUAAUUUUCCUUUGUCAAAGGGAGGGUAGCGAUACCUUUUGCCUAGAGAGGGGUUUAUGUCCUAUCAGCUUGUUGGUGGGGUAAUGGCCUACCAAGGCGAAGACGGGUAGCCGGUCUUAGAGGAUGGUCGGCCACACUGGGACUGAGACACUGCCCAGACUUCUACGGAAGGCUGCAGUCGAGAAUCUUUCGCAAUGCCCGAAAGGGUGACGAAGCGACGCCGCGUGAGUGAGGAAGGCCUUAGGGUUGUAAAGCUCUGUCAGGAGUUAAGAAAUAUAAGUGUGUUAAUACCACAUUUAUUUGACGAAGGCUCCAAAGGAAGCCACGGCUAACUCUGUGCCAGCAGCCGCGGUAAUACAGAGGUGGCAAGCGUUGUUCGGAAUUAUUGGGCGUAAAGAGCACGUAGGUGGGUUUGUAAGUCAGAUGUGAAAGCCUUCUGUUCAACGGAAGAAUUGCAUCUGAAACUAUAAGUCUUGAGUGUAGGAGGGGAGAAUGGAACUUCUGGUGGAGCGGUGAAAUGCGUAGAUAUCAGAAGGAACGCCGGCGGCGAAAGCGAUUCUCUGGCCUAUUACUGACACUCAGUGUGCGAAAGCUAGGGGAGCAAACGGGAUUAGAUACCCCGGUAGUCCUAGCUGUAAACGAUGGGCACUAAGUAGAGGGGAUUACCGAUGUUCUCUCUGCCGUAGCUAACGCAUUAAGUGCCCCGCCUGGGGAGUACGGCCGCAAGGCUAAAACUCAAAAGAAUUGACGGGGGCUCGCACAAGCGGUGGAGCAUGUGGCUUAAUUCGAUGCAACGCGAAAAACCUUACCGGGGCUUGACAUGGUAGAAGUAGGAACCCGAAAGGGUAACGAACGGUAUCCAGUCCGUAGCUAUCACAGGUGUUGCAUGGCUGUCGUCAGCUCGUGUCGUGAGACGUUGGGUUAAGUCCCCUAACGAGCGAAACCCUUGUUUUUAGUUACCAGCGGGUUAUGCCGGGUACUCUAGAAAGACUGCCGUCGUCAAGACGGAGGAAGGUGGGGAUGACGUCAAGUCAUCAUGGCCCUUAUGCCCCGGGCUGCACACGUGCUACAAUGGUCGGUACAAACGGAAGCGAAGCCGAGAGGUGAAGCGAAUCCUAAAAAGCCGAUCUCAGUUCGGAUUGGAGGCUGAAAUUCGCCUCCAUGAAGUUGGAAUCGCUAGUAAUCGCGGAUCAGCAAUGCCGCGGUGAGUAUGUUCCCGAGCCUUGUACACACCGCCCGUCAAGCCACCCAAGCAGGAUGCACCCGAAAACAUUAUAUCUAACCAGGGCAACUUGGAGGAAAGUGUUGAAGGAGUGUUUUGUGAGGAGGACUAAGUCGUAACAAGGUAGUCGUAGGAGAACCUGCGGCUGGAUCACCUCCUUUCU
rnacentral:rRNA from 1 species